UACGUAGGGGGCAAGCGUUGUCCGGAUUUAUUGGGCGUAAAGAGCGUGUAGGCGGCCUUACAGGUCAGCUGUGAAAACUCGAGGCUCAACCUCGAGACGUCGGCGGAAACCAUCUGGCUAGAGUCCGGAAGAGGAGAGUGGAAUUCCUGGUGUAGCGGUGAAAUGCGCAGAUAUCAGGAGGAACACCGGUGGCGAAGGCGGUUCUCUGGGCCUUACCUGACACUGAGGAGCGAAAGCGUGGGGAGCAAACAGG
rnacentral:rRNA from 1 species